GGACGUAGAUGGUACUCUUACAGAUGGUGAUCGUGAAAACAAACGGAGGAGUUUGUUUGUUGUACUCGGUCUAGUUCAAACCAAAACAUCUUUGCAAAUAUGUAUGGUUUGAGCUAGACCGAUGUCAACAAACAAGCUGCUUCGUUUGUAUUCACCAUCAACAUCUUUAAGAAACGCUGCACCACUC